GGGGCUGUAAUGGUUUCGACGGGAUAGUGAAAGCUGUUCUGUGAUGCAAGCCGAGAGUGAGUCCCCUCUCGUAAAUCAAGGCUCAAACUAAAUGUAACUGCGAACAACAUCGUUCCUUUCGCUCGUAAGGCUGCUGCUGUAGCCUAAAUCUAGCCUCAAACAGGCGCGAGCCAUCAUAGUCCGACUCCGUUAAGGUCUAUGGUGAAACCCCAACGGAUGCUCCCUAAAACAGCUUCUAGUCAAUUGAAGGGCUAAGACUUUACUAGAAAUCCCCACCAUUCGGGGUCAAGAAUGGUUCCUGCCCAGAGGAUUGAGAUGGGAUAAGCUUGUGAAUGAACAGAGAGUAAUAGCUAUUGCGGACGGCAGUUCGAUUCUGCCCAGCUCCAUUA
rfam:Roseofilum reptotaenium AO1-A Rreptotaenium_AO1_contig_15_len_308535_cov_441.995, whole genome shotgun sequence.